AAGGUACCAACUUUUAAAUAGUUUUAAUUUUUUUUUCUUCUUUUGAUUUAAUUUGUUUUUUUAAAACCAAAUAAUGAUUCUCGGGUGAUUUUCUUUUCAAAACUUAUUCAUUAUAUACGGUUCAAUAUAUCACAAUCAUUAACAAUCUUUCACAAAACAUAUUUAAAUGUGAAUCACUUACACUUGUACAAUAUCCAUACACACUUGUUGUACAUAUACAAAGAAUUUUUCCUUUAAUCAUAUUCCUUUAAUCUAUUUUUUUUUUCCUUUCAAGUAGCUCUAUUUGUGAAAUCAAAAGCCACACAUUCAAGUAAGAACUAUUACACCAUUUUUACACCAAAAUCCUAAGUUAAGCAUUCAAGUCAACCACUAAUCAUCAUCAUCACCAUUAUUCUUUCACUAUCAUAAACACAAUAUUGACAUCAAAACAAACUUCACAACAUCAGCCAUAUCUUCCCUCUGCGUUUAUACUUUUAUUUUGGUAUAAGUUAUUUGUUGAUGUUGAAUUGGCCAUGAUUGUUUUGUAAGGAAAGAGAUGAAGGAUUUUGAAAUGAGAGAAAAAAGAAGAAAGGGCUUAAUUGAGAAAGAGGGAUUCUUUGACGAUUGAGAGAGAGAAAAGGUUCUUUUGUUUUUUCAUCUGCCUCCAUGUUUAUUUACUGGUUUUUUAUUUUUUUCAAUUAAAGAAUGCCACUUGUCAGCAUCCUGUUGGCUAGUGUGAAAUUUUGAAAAGUCAACAUAUUUUUUUGUUUAUUCUGUUAUUUAAUUUGGAGAAUUGAGAAAAAGAAGUACCAAGCAUGGGGCUGGGGUGCCGCAACUGUAGUGUUUUUAAGUUUUUGUUUAAAUUUAUUUUUUGACUUAGAUUAGGUUUACUCCUCUUAGAAUUUUCACAACGACAAAUUUCUCUCACCCACUAAAAUAAUUUAUUGCUAAAUAUGCAAGAAAUUUUGGAGGUUUAAUAAAAUGUCAAAUAUGUUACUGGGGCAUCACAGAUAUCAAUGUUUUAAAAAUUGAACCGAUAAAAUUUACGGUUUAAAUUUAAUUGAUUAAACCGAUUCGGUCGAACCGUUUAUUAAAUAAAUUGAUAAAAUUAAAUUAAAUUUCAUAGACAUGUCAGACAUAAUUAUACGUUUACAACUUAAUGAAAUGAAUAUUUAAAAAAUCUAUUACAAAAUUAAUACAACAAUAUCGAUAAUACAUAUAAUAACAUAACAUAGUUUUACACUUCAUUCAACCUUCAUUUAACAAUAAAUUGACCAAAUUAAAAAAUUAUAAUAAAAUAAAUUAAACUAAUUCAAACCAAUAUUAAAAUAAUAAAAUAUAAUAACUAAAAUAAAGUUCAAAUAAUUAAAAAUACCUAAAUUAAAUAAGAUCGAAUACUAAAAAUAAAUAAUACAUUAUACUUCUUUAAACAACAAAAAAACACGAAUUUGAGUCGAACUACGACAAACAAGUCCUAAUUGACAACAAACAAUAUUGACUUAUACGACAAUCAAUAUUAUGUUGGAUAUCAUUAUGUUUAAAAGAGAAGGCUGAUGAUGAUGGAGUGUGUUUGAAAGAAAAACUAUAAUGGAGUGACAAAAUUUAGAAGUUUGUAUAGUUGUAAAAAAAAUAUAGAAUUCUUUUUUGUGAUUAGAGAAUGUAUGUUAAGUUUUAAUAUUGACAUAUUAAAAAAAAGGGUAAUUUGAUGCUUUUUUUUUGAAUCGGACUGUUUUACAAAACCGGCUCUAGUCAUUUGAUUUGAAUGAUUUUGGACGGUUCAAUCCGGUUUUUCUGGUUUUACUCCGAUUUUGAACCACUAACGGUUUUGAAAGGUUGACCCAAUCAGAUUCUCUUUUGUUUCCGGUCCAACCGGUUGAACCGGCCGACUCAGUUCGGUUUUUAAAAUAUUGACUGAGAUAGUUGGUCGAUUGCAUCCUUAAAACUGUUGAGCGAGUUUAUCACUAGGGAGCAUUGAACAUUGUGAGAGACACACCACAUAUUCAUCCAAAACUUUAAUGUGAUACGUGGAUGGAUUCUCUCACUUAUAAAUACUCAUGUCUCCAUAUUUCCAACCAAUGUGAGACUAUUAUCCACACUAGUCAAACUUUGCUACAUUCCCAACACGCUCCCUCAUGUGUGAGUUCACAAUGCUCCCCCUCAAGUGGAAGCUCUUCUUACUUUCACAAACUCUUGUACCGCACUCAAUGUUUCUUACUCAUCACCCUUGUGGCACCAUUGACACUCUUCAACAAAAUAUUUCUUACUCACUGUUCUUGUAACGCCGUUGACUUUCGAUACAAGUAAAUUGAUCCCUUUCUCGAAUCAAAGGCUCAUGAUACCAUGUGUUGGAGGAGUUUUUCACUAUGGGGCAUUGAACAUUGUGCGACUUAUUCUUUUUAAAGCAACACCUUUGUAAGAGACAUACCACAUAUUCACCCGAAUCCUUAAGGUGAAUAGUGAAUGUAUUCUCUCACUCAUAUUUUCAAUCAAUGUGAGACUAUUAACCACACUCCUCACACUUACUACAUUCUCAACAAAAGCAAGUGUUAUUGAAUUGUAUAUGACAAAGCAACAAAUUUAAACAUAUCUAUCAAAUUUAUAAAUUACACCAAUAUAAUUUUUCUUGUUUCUAAGUAAUAUUUUUAUUUUAAAUAAAUUUAGAAAAUUUAAAAUAUUCAUAUUUUUAUAUUUUAUAACAUAUUCAAUCACUAAAUUAUUUUUUAUAAAAUAAUUGAAUUUUGUGUUUUAGUCAGACUUGUGUAACGCAUGUGUAAUUUCCCUAAUUAUAACUUAAAUUUAUUAAAGAUAUGGAGAAUCUGGGAAAAAAUAAAUUUUAUUAUUUUUUCAUUUCAUUGUCUAAAUUUUAGAGAACAAAGUCUUAAUUUCAAAGUAUAUGUAAUUGUAAAAUGAAAUAAAAAUAUUAAAAAAAUACAAUUGUUAUGAAAUAUUCUCCCAUUAGAUAUAUUAUUUAUAGUUUUUUUCUUUAUAUUUCAAGAACUAAUUCUUACUUACAACUAAUGUAAUCCAGCUUUCCAGUGCUAAUAAAUACGAUUUCGCAAUCUUCCUUAGUAAUAACUCAAAAUUAAAAAAACUAGUUUUUGGUAAUUUCGUUUAUGAAAUUAAAAUUGGAGGUGAAAAGGUAUCUUUUAAUUAUGAUUAACUGAUAUUUAUAAAGAUAGAUAAGUGAUACUUCACCUAUUAAAAUAUGAAUUUUAUACCUAUUAAAAUAUGAAUUUUAUACCUAGACAAAAAAAAUGCUAUCCUAUAAUAUCUUUUAAAUCAUAGAAAUAUUAUUAACAUUGAUCCCAUAUUUAUGCUUGAGCCUACUCUGAUUUCUUACAUUACACUUUAGUUGUAAUAUUUUCAGGAUAUUAUUACCUUUUAGAGCUCUCUCCUUCAAAAACCUAAACUCAUUCAAUUUAUCUUCUAUUUUCAAUCAACUAUAAUAACCUAAACUCAUUUAAUUUAUCUUCUAUUUUCAAUAAACUAUUGCAACUUUUUUUACUCUAAGAUACUAUUUUUUAUAAACAACUCAUAUUUUGUCAAACUUGAAAUCUUCAAGUGAGUAUGUUAUAUUAAAUCAAAUAGUUGUAUUUGAAUCUUUAAAUUGUUCUAUAGACUAAUACCAUUUAAUUUGAAAACAAUUUUAUCUUGAUGUGCUAGUGAUGCUAAAUAUCAUUAUCAACUACUCGAUGAUAGUUGUGGUCUACUGAAUCUGACAAUGGAGGGUUUACCGGCAAAUACUAUGUCGAUGAAAUUAAUAGAGACUCUGAGUACGAGGUUUAGGAUUUUAGAAUAAUAUGUACCUUGAGCCUCAAUCAAAUAUUAGAAUUUAAAUUGUCAUUCUAAGGGUUAUAGACCUUAUAAUCUCCUUUAAAGUUAAUUAUUUGUCUCUGAGGACAAAUGUCGGAGGAUUUCAUAGACCAUAUGACUGGAAGGUUACUCGAGAUAAGUCAACCCUGAUCAAGUGUUUUUAUUUGUUUGACCCAAUUUUCUUCUAAAGACUUGAGAGAUUCUAUUUUUUUUAUGGAAUGGGCCUUGGACUAAGCUAUAACAAUUGUCUCCUAAUCUUUAUACACAAAAAUUUAAUUUAUAUUAUAAUGGUGCAAUAAUUUUUAUAUUUCUAAGUAAGAUUUGUAAAAAGGUUUAGUUUGUGAACUAGAUUAAUUUAAAAAUAUGGUAAAAUUAGAAUUAAGAAAACAUGAUGGGGUUUGAUUUUUAUCAUUUAUUCAUCUAGGGUAAUCUCUCAGUGUAUAAUUUAGUUUAUAGUUUUCAUCCAUAAAUUCACCUAUGGCUCAAUAUAUGCUUAUAUUUCUAAUCAACAAUGCAAAAUCUAUCAUACCUAUUAACUUUUGAGUCCUUUCUUAGUACUUUGAUUCAAUAGUAUUAUGAUUCAACAAUAUACAUGUAUGCUCUAUGCAUGAUAUGCAAGAAAAAUGAAUGCAUGAAUAUAUUGAAGUGAAGCGAUGUGAUUAAUACAUGACGAUGAUUUAUGUGAUGAUAUGUAUGGUCAAUACCUGCAAUGAUUUAAUGAAUUUUGGAAUUUGAAAUGUGACCACUAUAUGGGAACUAGAUUUGCAAACUAAUUUCCAGACAAGAACUAGAAAUGAUUUAAUUGCCAGACAAGAACUGAAAAUGAAUUAAUUGUCAGACGGAAACUGACUUUAAAAUAUUAUGCUGCUGUAAGACCCUAAUUUUGACCCUAAGAUCCCUCAUGGCAUCAUAACAUUGCACAUUUGCAUUUGCCUCAAGGAUCAUAGCAUCUUGGCUCCUUAACCCUAGGGUGGGACUUGUGUGAGUUGGUUUGAGACCACCAAGCAUGCUUGAAUUGUAUAUUAUUGCUUUUCUUAUUUUGUUUGCUAACCAAAAGCACAAAAAUAUGUCACUAACAUCUUUUGUUUUUGUAGCUUGAGCAAUCAUAAAAUCCAAGGUUCCUAGGAGGCCCACAUGCUCAAAGAACGGCCAGAUGAAGUUGAAAGCAAGCAUGACAAUGGUUCACAAAUCUCCCAUUCAUCAUAUAUGCCUCUCAAGUAUCUCAAUUUGUCAAUUUGAUCAAGAUAAACCAAAGGGCUUGAGGAUUGUUUCCCAAGGAAACCCUAAUUCAACUGUGCAUCAAUUGUGCCUUGCUCAUGAAGCAACCUCAUCCCAUGAUCAAACACAAUCAAGAUAAGUUCUUUAAUUCAUCAUUUCAUGCAUAUAUGUGCCUAUGUGAGUUUCCUCAAUCAUAAAUUCAUCAAGAUGUGAAGUUUGGACUUGAGAAGUUGAUCAGUCAAUUCAUCUGACUAUGUUGAAAUCCACUGAGACCUAACUUUUGAUGAUUUUGUCAAAUGAUGAUGACCCCAAGAGAAACACUGUUCUUAAGAACCAUAUGAACAACUUUCAUGUUCAUAACAAAUUUAAUUGAAGCUUAGAAGGUUAUCAUCCAUUUCAAAACAUUAUAGAUCAUUUUGACUGAAACCCUAAUUUUGGGUCAACUUCCCAAGGACCUAACUCACUCAUUUUUAAUGAUUUUGAGGUGGGAUCAAAUUCAUUGGAAAGUUUAAGAUGCCUACUUCAUUUGUUAUGUUGGAAAAAAUUUCAUAAUCCUAAAAUAAACACAUUUGAUAAUUCAAAACAUUAUAGGUCACUUUGGACCAAAGGCAUUGAAAUGUGAAAAAGUCCAACUUCAAGUGCCCAUAACGUUCACAUCAAAAAUCCAAAUGAUGCAAAAUUUAAGUCCAAAUUGAUUGUCUUGAAAAUAUUUACAACUUUUAUGUUUAACGUUUUGUUAUUUGAAGCUUGAAUCAUUAAAACAGAAGGGCUUGAAUUUGGUCCAUUUUGACAAAAUUCACAUACACAUGUUUUUCACCUUGAACUUUAUGACCAGUUUUCAGUAAUUUUCCAACUUCAAAUGGAUUUUUGUUCAACAUAACAAUUAUUCCUUAUGUCAAUACCUUUCCAACCAUUACCCACAAGGCCAUGUUUCAUUUUGGUAAGAGGCAUUUUCGAAGAAGGGAAGAUUUAUGUGCAUUUUUGGAAACUUUGUUAAAACUUCAUGCACACUCAUUUACAAUGCCAUGUACACGUCCAAUUCAGCUUAAUAUGAUUUCAUCAUGCCAAAUCAAUUCCAUUUGGGCCUCCCAUGCGCCUGUACAGGCCCAUGCAUGGAGGCCCUCACUUCAUGCACACAUGAAUUUCACCUUGCUUCCAUCAAGCCUUGCUAUAAAUACAGGUGUUCAACUUCAUUCUAAACCAACCUUAAGGCGCCUUAUAUGCUGCAGAACUGAAUCCUAAACUUCACCAAAAGGAAUUUUGCAUUUUUACUUCAAUUUUUCAGAUCCAAUUUUCAACUUCCUACGUUGAUUAUUGGACUCUAAUUCCUUAGCCUAGCCCUAUUUCCAUCUCAAGAACAAGCUGAUAUCAAGAAUUGGGAAGGAUCGUGCCUCAUAGAUUUGCAUUUCAAAGGUUGUUGUUCAAACUUUUUCAAUUCGAAACUCACUGAUUCUUGCUCAUUUCUUGUGUUUGUUGGCUCCUCUGAAGUCCUCUCAUAAGAGGCAAUUGAAUUGUGUACUUAAUUGCAUAAAUCCAUCAAGUUUAGUUGAACUCCAUUAUUUUCUGUCGCAUCCGCGAAAAACAACCGGCGGGCUAAAACAAAACAACAAACAGAGCCGCCACUGCGCGUUAUUUAACCCAAAAUAGGGAAAGGAAACGCUCAGAGAAACCUGGAAAAAGCAUGGUCUCGCGACCAAAGAGAAAGGGAUCGGGAGUCGGUUACGCAAGGGAAGGUUUAGCACCCCUCACGUCCGUCGUACUCGACGGGAUCCACGUUCUAAGAUAAAAAAGGUUGCUAAAAACACACACACACACCGAAACAACACAGGUGGGGUUAAGAGGAAGAGCUCGAUAGGACAUCGCAUCCUAUGCCUACAUAUCUCGUCUGGAACGAGAAUCAGAGCUACUGUAGUUCGGCUCACGCACGCCAAACAACACACGCAUAAACAGGCAAACAUGGAGCCUGAAUGCCAAUCACUGGGCUUACAUCAGCAUCCGAACCAAAACACACACACACUGGAAACAAGAUGCCACUUGAUGGACUUACACCGGCUUCCAAGCACACAACAAGAACAAAUAAACACAAUCAGGAUACGGACAGCCAAUCGCUGGGCUUACAUCCAUAUCCUGACACACAAGCUUAACAAGCAAACGCACANNNNNNNNNNNNNNNNNNNNNNNNNNNNNNNNNNNNNNNNNNNNNNNNNNNNNNNNNNNNNNNNNNNNNNNNNNNNNNNNNNNNNNNNNNNNNNNNNNNNNNNNNNNNNNNNNNNNNNNNNNNNNNNNNNNNNNNNNNNNNNNNNNNNNNNNNNNNNNNNNNNNNNNNNNNNNNNNNNNNNNNNNNNNNNNNNNNNNNNNNNNNNNNNNNNNNNNNNNNNNNNNNNNNNNNNNNNNNNNNNNNNNNNNNNNNNNNNNNNNNNNNNNNNNNNNNNNNNNNNNNNNNNNNNNNNNNNNNNNNNNNNNNNNNNNNNNNNNNNNNNNNNNNNNNNNNNNNNNNNNNNNNNNNNNNNNNNNNNNNNNNNNNNNNNNNNNNNNNNNNNNNNNNNNNNNNNNNNNNNNNNNNNNNNNNNNNNNNNNNNNNNNNNNNNNNNNNNNNNNNNNNNNNNNNNNNNNNNNNNNNNNNNNNNNNNNNNNNNNNNNNNNNNNNNNNNNNNNNNNNNNNNNNNNNNNNNNNNNNNNNNNNNNNNNNNNNNNNNNNNNNNNNNNNNNNNNNNNNNNNNNNNNNNNNNNNNNNNNNNNNNNNNNNNNNNNNNNNNNNNNNNNNNNNNNNNNNNNNNNNNNNNNNNNNNNNNNNNNNNNNNNNNNNNNNNNNNNNNNNNNNNNNNNNNNNNNNNNNNNNNNNNNNNNNNNNNNNNNNNNNNNNNNNNNNNNNNNNNNNNNNNNNNNNNNNNNNNNNNNNNNNNNNNNNNNNNNNNNNNNNNNNNNNNNNNNNNNNNNNNNNNNNNNNNNNNNNNNNNNNNNNNNNNNNNNNNNNNNNNNNNNNNNNNNNNNNNNNNNNNNNNNNNNNNNNNNNNNNNNNNNNNNNNNNNNNNNNNNNNNNNNNNNNNNNNNNNNNNNNNNNNNNNNNNNNNNNNNNNNNNNNNNNNNNNNNNNNNNNNNNNNNNNNNNNNNNNNNNNNNNNNNNNNNNNNNNNNNNNNNNNNNNNNNNNNNNNNNNGAGAAGUCUCGCACGACCCCCUGCCUACAUACCUCGUCUGGAACGAGGAUCAGGGCGAUGUAGUUCCCCCCAACGGGGGAGAAAGACUAGCCAGACACAAAGGGAAGACACACUACCAGGGAGCUGUACUCGAGCCUAGUGUUAUCAUGCAUCAUUGCCCUAUGUUAUGGUUUCUACCUACUUGCACAACAGCAAGCUAAUCCUAUCCAGGAAGAAAGCAAGCAUGCAAGCAUCCACAAAUCAAAACAAGCAUUUCAAGCAAAUAUUCACAAAGCACACACUAUAUCCAGUCAAGUGGGCUCAAACAAAGGGUUCGACUGCCAAGACAAGUCAUCUGUAUAAGGGUAGUGUUAGCUCUUAACCUUGCCAUCGAGGGGCUAAGGUGAAGCUAGAUGAAAGGUGAGUGAAGAUUAGACUUAACAGCUCUUAUCCCUGUCCAGGGAGAGCUUCAGACAAAGGAGUGUGGGUCCAGAAAGGAGGAACCCUUCUACACUCAAAACUCUGACACAACUGUAUAAAGUACAAGAUCUUGGGUUUGUGUCCCAAUGCAUCAACACAGUGGUGUGAGCAGAGGGACGACUCAAAAGAAUAGUGGGAGAUAGACUGUAUAUCUCUAUGAUCCACCAAUUGCCUUAAUCAAGGUCUUUUGCCUGCUUGGGGACAAAGUUAAACAAUCACAAACAUCGCCUCUUAAGGAGGACUUCAGACAGUUGCCUGGCCAAGUAACAGGCCAGCGUCCUUCAUGACUACAUGGAAGAAUAGACAAUUUCUACCUCAAUUGGUUUAAAAACCACAGCAACAGCAAGCAAGUUUCUCAAGGAACUGUAAGCAAACGUAAAUGUAGCCCUGAAAUCAAGUUCAAAUGUAUGCAUCAGUACUAAACAGACAAACCAACAGUGAAACAGCAAAUGGUUAAAUCAGUUAAAUAUCUGGUUACAGCAACAACAAGUUUAAUGCCACAUGAAGUGCAAAGCCAUGAGCUCAAACUCAAGCAUCAAAAACCCUAAAAAUAAACAAAAAUUCAAUGUUAGUGGACAAACAUCAAAAACAAAUUCCAAAUUUGCAACUUGAUUUAUCUCCUUAAGCCCUUUUGCCUUUCAACCUGAAAAAUUGCCAAACCCCAAAAUGUGAGGAAACAAGGACACGAGACUAGGCACAAGCCUUAGGGGUUCCAAAAAGGGAUAAAGAAACAAAUAUGAAUACAGGGGCAAGUGAGAAAGAUUCAACCAAUUCACAUAUGUAUUCGAAAUCACAAAUUAAAAGCUCAAAUGACGACAUUUGGAUCAUCAGGUCUCAUGGUAAUCAUGUACAGCACAUUACCAGAGAAGAUCUAUUUGCAAUGGCACGAUUUAUCGACUAACUAUUGGACACAAUUUGUCAAAGCUUGUGUCAUAAAAAGCACCAUUAGGACAGGAACACCGUAGUGCUCAAUCAAAUAUGCACAUGAACGCACAACAAUCAGUUGCUAAGUGAACCUCGUCACACUAGUCAAGACGAUCGACGUUACGCCUGAGAGGUUGGUACUACAUUCUAGCUAUAUAGCCUUGUCACUGUAUUGUGAACGAACCGGAGACGCUGGAGAUCAAAGGUGGGGAUAUGUCCAAUUAGUUGCUAUAGCUCUGCAAAUGUGGACAAAAGAAAGUGAGGAGUCUAUCUAAUUGAAAAUCUAUAGAGUCCCUAGACAGUCCCAUGGCUCUGUUUGACACCAAGCGAUGGUAUACACUAGGGCUUUCAGAUCCAAAUGGACAUCCGCGAAUAUCUACGCCAUUCACUUCUAAGUGAUAAAUACUCCCCACUACAACAGUUAGACACGGACGGAAUUAAAGCCGCUAGAUCACGAAGUGCGAUGCAAUAAGAGGAAGUGAAGUUGGCUAGCUAAAUAUAUUGCUAGCAAACUGACGCUACGUCAAAAUUUUCAUCGUUCCAUCCGAUAUUACGCCAUUACCUUGAGAUAGUGCAGCAAGCAAUAACUGCACGACAUCAAGUAGAUUCAAAUCCACUGCGUGAGGGCAGGAGCGGGGGAUAUGCGUGCCGGCCGAGCGAUGUGUAUGGAAAUAACAUGGCGACUCAGCAUGAAGAGAAUUAAUCAAUGCCUUCACCAAGAUAACAGGAACAGACUCCAUCUAUAUAUCCCCGCAUAAACAUAUACACUCGGGUGUACUCGCUUUGUAACAUAUCAGAGCGUGAUUAUCCCAAUACAUGCGGCAUAUAUUUCAGCUCAAUCAGACUAUCGUUCACGCGAUUCGAGGCUUAUCUCAGAGAGUAAUAGAGUAUCACUAUUGAGAAGAGUUGAGUAUCCCAGCGUCAUCGCCUCUGGGCUGUGGGAGGCUACAGCAGUUAUAGUGUGUAUAGGACUCUUUGCAUCUCAUAAUGGAGAUCGAGAGAGAUCUGAUGUAGAUGCUACACAUCACCAAGUAUCCAAAAAUCACAAACUCUACAUGAAAAUCACCAUCAAUGAGUCCCAAGAACAAAGACCAAAAAUUUUCACUUACGCAUUUUAUUUGCAACAUCGAUCACUUUCAUCGAAGGUUUUGGCAAUGGUAUACCACAAAUGAAACACAUUGAAACAAACCCUAGGCAACUAAAUUUCCACACGUGCAAAAUUUCACAAAAAUCAUAAUCAAAUUCUACACAUCAUCAUGAAAAUAAUGCAAAAAAGUCUCACUCCCAUUUGGAUGAAAAAUGAAGUCUCUAGGAAUUUUUGAAGAUCAUGGGCACUCAAAUGAAAAUAAAAAGAAAAAAACAAAUAAAGAUAAUAAUUAAUUUAAUGCGCAGUGGCAUUUUUUGUAAUACUAAUGCAACUGGCCAAAACGACGUCGUUCUAAUUACAAUGCAUGGCGCGCUUCUACUGGCUAAACUGGCGGUAAACAUGUAAUUUGAUGAAUGAAAAUCCAGAAAAUGGGAUCAACACACAUGUUCAUCGUUCUUCACCAAGAAAUUCCAGAAAAUGCAAAAAAAUCAUGAACAACGAAAUUUCAUCAAAAUCAACAAAUGCAUAAUCAAUGGAACCGUCUUUCCACAAGGAACAUGGAAUACGUAACUUCAUUCAACCUAAUUCCUAACACAGCCACGGGAUCGAGUAAACAAGUUAUGACAUCAAACAUUCAAGUCGCGAUUAUCUCUCCACAGUCAACCAAUUCAACAAACCAAACGUAUCACGUUAAUCUACAAUGAACGCACUACAAUACACAUAUGACAUUCAAGAAAUGGUGAGAUUCGAAAAUUAACCUAAGGUUGAAGACAGCAAUGGAUCUGAUGUAUUUUGCUCCAAUUUCCAAAACAGAUGAUGAUGAAGGUUGAGGAAGUUGAAUAAACAGCUAGUUUAGCUCCAGCACGAUCCAGAUGUGAGAAUAAUCAAAUCACCAUUGAUGAGCUCACUUGAACAGUGAGAUUCUUGAGGUUUUUGGCACAAUUUAGCAAAACAGUUGCACCUUGAGGUUGUGGAAGAAGAAUCCAACAAGAACAAUGCAUUGAUGAAGGUUUUGUCGAGAAUUGAUCAAAAAAGUGUGUGUAGAUUUUGGAGAAUUUUCACUUUUGGAGGAAAGUUAGUUAGGGAUCUUGAGAAUUGUGAUUAUGAUUAACAUUUCUGUUAUAAUUAGUAACUUAUACUCACCUUAAUCCAAUGUACUAAUCUCAAUUAGCAAAUUUGGAAGAAUUAGCAUAAUUGCACUUUAAAGUGAAAGUUCCAAAAUGGCUUGCCAAAAUUUUACAAUAUGACAGCUCAUGACAGUUGGAAACAAGUUUCAAUUGCUUUAUUUGAGAGUGUUGCAAAAAUCUCAUCUCAAAUUCCAUGUAUUUCUCAAAUUGGACCAUUUUGCCCUUAGAUUUAAUUGUUGCACUGAAAAUUGACCUUUUGCAUUGACCAUUUUGUAUGAUAUUUGAUAUGCACCAUGAAAGUACAUGUGAAAUGGAGUUUGCUCAUAAAAAAGAUCAACCAUUUGGACAUUCCAUGUGAAGUUAUGCCACUUUGAUUAUAGGUCUUUUUGGAAAUGAAUGGACCAUAACUUGCCAACCAUACAUGGGAAUUUCAAGUUCUUGGACUUUUUGGAAAAGGUGAGACCAAGAUCUACACUUUCAUGUUGAACAAAUUUUCUUUGAAGUUUUUGUGACAUGUAUUUUGUGGGAAAAAACUUUCAUUUUUGGAAACUUUCAUUACAGUCACUUUCUAUUUUGGCACUUUUGUCCUGACUUUAUUUUCUUCAUUCUGAGCUUUGACAUGUCAAAUGAAACUUGUUUCAACAGAAUGAAGUGUAUCCAACUCUCCACACCUCCAAAUCCAUAAAAUCAAGCACAGUUGAUCACAGUUGACUUUUUCAACUGAUAGAUGAAUUUGGCAAUGCACUGAUCAAAUUGAGCCCAAUCCUCUGAUGAAAAUGGCUCAAAGAUGAAACCCUAGCCUCAUAAGCUCAAUAAAAUUCAUGGAAUGAUCUCAUAUCCUUGUAGACCCCAUCUCCUGCACAAACCUGAUUGCCCAAUGCAACUGAUUAGGGUUGACCAGUGGUCAAAACCCUAAAAAUCGCUCCAAGGGAAUAUGUCCAACACUUGAAUGAUGCGGACAAACCCAAGAUGGAGUGAUAUGAAUCUAUAUGCCACCAAGAUGAAGACCAAUCUCCUUGAGAACCACAAAACCCUAAUUUGGACCUCCACAUCCUUAGAUGAUUAAGGACCAGUCCAAUGAAACCCUAGCUCGCAUCAUGACCUCUUCAUCUUCUGAUUAAGACUUAGGAGGAUGACUUGCACAAUGUAACCACAUGAUAUGCAAUAUGCAAUGCCUAAUAACCUAAAAAUGUUAUGCAAUAUGUUAAGCUAGUCCCAAGAGAAGAGGGCAAAUUUUGAGGUGUUACAUUUUCCAUCUCUGAUUUCUCUUUCUAUGAGAGUCCAGAGUGAAAACCAAUGGCACAAGGGUGAUGUACAUCACCCCAGCUUUCCAAUGAUAUGAGGAUCGCAUUUUUUCAUCAACUUUUUAAAACCUGCAAAUGUCACAAGAGUUCAUAUACUCGCCGGAGAAGACGGUGGUGUACACCACCGUUCCCUUGCCAGAUCACAUAUGAACUGUCCAUUGUGUUUUCUAGAUUAAAUCAGGACCUUUAAUUGUUAUGUUUUUUAAUAAUUCAGUGUGUUUCUCAUUUGACUAUUGCCUACCAUGAGCGCACGCAUGAGGAUCCUUGGAUGUGCCACCUUAUUUAAUGAGGUUGAUCCAACACGCCAGGAUUUUUGGCAAUUUCUGAUUUUCUAUUUUUAUUUUCUUUAUUUCAUUUUAUUUCAAAAAUUCAUAACUCUUUCAUUUUAAAUCCAAAAAUAUGGGACCAAUUGCAUUAUUUCCCUUUUUAAUUCUAGUUUCUGAAAAUGAUUUUUAAUAUUUUUUAUGUUGUCAUUUGAUAUUUUUUUGUGAUUUUUCUCUUUUCUGGUUAUUUUUAGUUCAUUUUAAAUAGUUUCCAAUAUUCAAAAAAUGCAAAAAUAUUUUCUUAACAUCUUUGAAUGAUGAUGAAUCUAUGAAAAAUAUUCUCAUCAAUUUCCAAAUUGAUUUGAGAUUUAUUUGAGAUUUAUAUUCAAAAAAUGCAAAAAUAUUUUCUUAACAUCUUUGAAUGAUGAUGAAUCUAUGAAAAAUAUUCUCAUCAAUUUCCAAAUUGAUUUGAGAUUUAUUUGAGAUUUUAGUUCAAUUAUGUUAUUUUUAUUCAUUUUUAAUUGUUUAAAAUUAGUUUCUGGUUUCCAAAAAUGCUGAAAUUUUUUGUCAAAGUUUGUUUGACCUUGUUGAACUUAGGAUGAUCCAUUUGGACUUUUCCAAGUUGAUUUGAAAUGGAUUUGAAGUUUGACCUUUGUUUGAUUAUUAUUAAUUCAAGUAUUAUUUUAAUUCUCAAAAAUAUCAAAAAUAUUUUAUUUGUUUCUUGACUUCUAAGUUUCAUUUUGCUUCUGUUUACCAUUGAUUGACUUUGAUUCUAUUCAUGUUUGAUCAAUGUGUGUUGGAUAUCUCAUUUUAAUUUCAAUUCAUGUACAUUCUUCUUGAUCAAUGAGUUAAAGAUUGGUGGUUGGCCUUGACAUAUGAGAGGCUUAACCUUCCUUGAUUCAAAUCUAAUUCAUCUUGAUCAUGGAUCAAGUGAAUGGCUUUGCAUUGAGGAUAGGUUGCUUCUUGGUCAAGCAAAAUACCUAAAUCAAUACAAGAUCAUUUUUCUUUUCUUUUGGCAUGGCAAGUUGUAGGAGCUUGGCUUACUAGUCAUGGUCUCUAACUUGUGUUUGUUGCCUAUAGUUUUAUUGAACGACCUUAGACAGGUGUGACUACUACAUUAGUCCACUUACGAUUGCUUAACAUAACGCUAAAUUGCCUUAUGGCACACUAACAUUGACUAUUAACACUAACUUUUAAUUCAAGUCUUUAAUUCUUGCAAUUUAUUUUAUGCAAUUUAAUAUCUUGUUCUUUAAUUCAUUUGCUUUUUCCCUUUGCUCACUUGAGCUCAUGUUUAUGUUAAUGCAAUUUGCCUUUUGCUCACUUGAGCACAUUAUUGUGUAUAUACUAUUGUGCUUGUUUUGUUUUGAUUGUGUAAACCCAAUGCAAAUGGACAAAGGACUUAGAUUUUAGGAUCUUACCUAUGCUAAUGGAGUUUGAAGAGCAACUAGGCCUCAUGCAUUUAGAGUUAUAAAAUGUCAAAGAGCAACUGGGCCUCAUGCCUUUAGAAUGCUUAAGCUUGAAGAUGAACAUUGAAAGGACCUAAUUCUAAACUCACUCUUGUCCAUUCUUUCUAUUGCAUUGUGGAACUUUUUGAUUUGUGUGUUCUUGUGUGCUAGGGAUCCAAACUUGCCAAGUAGAAGAACCAUUGUCAUGAGCAUCCAAAGUGACAGAUACAAAAGCCAUUGGAAGAUUCCUAGGAGCUUGAUUGAUAUUUGCUUAAUUGCUUGAGUUAUUUUCUAUUUGCUUGCUAAUUCCAAAGGAUGGGAGCAACUUGGAUCAUCACUAUGAUCUUAAGAAAGGAACUCCAUGUGGUUUUAUUUCUCUUCCUUCAUCUUUGCAUGUUUAGGACCUAGCCAUUCUUCUUCUUCCCUCCAUUCUAACCCAAGCCAAACUUUUGUGCAAACAUUAACAUUAUUUUCAAAAUUAGAAACCUAAGCAUUAUGCUUUUGAUUUUCUGUCGCAACCUGAAAAAUGGAAUGCGAAAAAAAACAACCGACGAAGAAAGACAGGAGAGUCGCCACCGUGCGUUAUUUAUCCCAAAGGAGGGAAAGGAAACGCUCGAAGUAAACCUGGAAAAAGGAGAGGACAAGACAGGGUCUCGCAACCAAAUCUUGGGUUCGGGAGUCGAUUAUGCGAAGGGAAGGUAUUAGCACCCCUACGCAUCCGUAGUACUCUACGGGAUCCACUUUUGUAGUUCAGAGAGGACAAGACAGGGUCUCGCAACCAAAUCUUGGGUUCGGGAGUCGAUUAUGCGAAGGGAAGGUAUUAGCACCCCUACGCAUCCGUAGUACUCUACGGGAUCCACUUUUGUAGUUCUUGUCUAAAUGGUGUGGGUUUAUCUUGAUGUGCUAGUGAUGCUAAAUAUCAUUAUCAACUACUCGAUGAUAUUUGUGGUCUACUGAAUCUGACAAUGGAGGAUUUAUCGGCAAAUACUAUGCUGAUGAAAUUAAUAGAGACUCUGAGCACGAGGUUUAGGAUUUUAGAAUAAUAUGUACUUGAGCCUCAAUCAAAUAUUAGAAUUUAAAGUGUCAUUCUAAGGGUUAUAGACCUUAUAAUCUCCUUUAAAGUUAAUUGUUUGUCUUUGAGGACAAAUGUCGGAGGAUUUCAUAGACAAUAUCACUGGAAGGUUACUCGAGAUAAGUCAACCCUGAUCAAGUGUUUUUAUUUGUUUGACCCAAUUUUCUUCUAAAGACUUGAGAGAUUCUAUUUUUUUUAUGGAAUGGGCCUUGGACUAAGCUAUAACAAUUGUCUCCUAAUCUUUAUACACAAAGAUUUAAUUUAUAUUAUAAUGGUGCAAUAAUUUUUAUAUUUCUAAGUAAGAUUUGUAAAAAGGUUUAGUUUGUGAACUAGAUUAAUUUAAAAAUAUGGUAAAAUUAGAAUUAAGAAAACAUGAUGGGGUUUGAUUUUUAUCAUUUAUUCAUCUAGGGCAAUCUCUCAGUGUAUAAUUUAGUUUAUAGUUUUCAUCCAUAAAUUCACCUAUGGCUCAAUAUAUGCUUAUAUUUCUAAUCAACAAUGCAAAAUCUAUCAUACCUAUUAACUUUUGAGUCCUUUCUUAGUACCUUGAUUCAAUAGUAUUAUGAUUCAACAAUAUACAUGUAUGCUCUAUGCAUGAUAUGCAAGAAAAGUGAAUGCAUGAAUAUAUUGAAGUGAAGCGAUGUGAUUAAUGCAUGACGAUGAUUUAUGCGAUGAUAUGCAUGGUCAAUACUUGCAAUGGUUUAAUGAAUUUUGGAAUUUGAAAUGUGACAACUAUAUGGGAACUAGAUUUGAAAAUUAAUUUCCAAACGGGAACUAGAAAUGAUUUAAUUGCCAGACGAGAACUGGAAAUGAAUUAAUUGCCAGACGAAAACUGACUUUAAAAUAUUAUACUGCCAGAUGGGAACUGGAUUUGAAACUUAAUUUCCAGACAAGAACUGAAAUUUAUUUAUCUUUCAAAUGGGAACUAACUUAAAAAUAAGGUCACCAUAUAGGAACUCGAUUGGACUUAGGCUAUCAGACGGGAACUGGCAAAAGGCUGUCAGACGAGAACUGACUUGAAAAUUAAGCCACCAGACAGGAACUGGACUGGCUACCAGGCGAGAAUUGAUUUUGAAAACUUGAUUACCAUAAGAGAACUAGUUUUGGUUUAACGGUCAAACGAGAGUUGACUACCAUAUGAGAACUAUAAACGAUUUUCCAAACAAGGUUGGACUUUUGACAUGUCUAUACCUCCACGAUGCACAAGAUGAGAUGUAUGCUCUGAUGCAAGAGUAAUGCUAAUGCAUGGAAACAUGAUUGAUGACAAUGAAUGAGGAUGCUCUGACUAUUUGAACGGUUAAGACCUACAAGGGUUCUUGCAACAAGCAGAGGAAGACCCUUGAGUUCCAAGAAGGUGGUCAUGUGUUCUUGAGAGUCACCCUGGUGACUGAUUUGGAUGUGUGUUGAAUUCUAAUAAAUUUACUCCUCGUUUCAUUGGUUAUUAUUAGAUCAUCCAGAGAGUUGUAGUUUUUGCCUACCGAGUGGCCUUACCAUCAUCUCUCUCAAACCUUCGUGAUGUUUUUCAUGUGUCUCAUGAUCAGAAGUAUAUUCAUGAUUUGUCUCAUGUGGUCCAAAUUGAUGAUAUAUAAGUGAGAUAUAACUUGGUUUAAGACAUCACCUUUGCGGAUCGAGGAUCGAGAAGUGAAGCAUCUAAGAGGUAAAUAGAUUGCUCUAAUGAAGGUAGUGUGGGGAGGACCUUCUGGAGGAAGCAUGACGUGGGAACUAGAGAGUCGGAAGAAAGAAUCUUAUCUGGAGCUAUUUUCGUAAAGUAAUUUAUUAGGACAUAAAUAUUUUAAGUGGGGGGGUGUAACAUCCUGACUUUAGUUAAUUAUUAUUUUUAUUUAAAUAAUUUAAUUUAUUCUAUUUUAUUGAGUGAUUUAUGUGUUUUGGGGGAAUUAAAUAUAUUUUGGUAAUUUAAUUAAUGGUAGAAUUUAAAUCAAUAUUAGAGUUGAGAUAAAUAAUUAAGUUUAUUAAAAUAAUUAAAUAUUAGGGACAUUUUUUAUUUAAAACUAGAGAAUUAGGGCAAUGUAAUAAAAUAAGCAUCAUUAUUAGUGAUAGAAUUAUUAUUUAAUUAAAAGAAUAUAAUAUUAGAUUUUUAAAUAAAAUAAGUGAAUUAGGGUGAUAUAAAUAGACAAGUUAUGUGAGACUCCUGUUAGAACAUGAAAUUGUAGAAAAGAGGAAAACGACAAAAAAACCUAAGGAGAGCAAUUGUGAGGUAGAAUCCCAAUGACAGGAAAUAUCAACGAUCAUCACUUUCAAGGUAAGAGGGGGAAGAAUUCUUUACAUGUGGGGUGUUUAGGAAUUCAGAUGGCGAGGGGUUCUAAGUUCUAACUCUUAUGUCUUCUUCUUCUCCAUUCUAUUUUGUGUUUUGUGUGUUCAUAUGUUUGGGGCCAAAAGGUCAAACCCUUUUGAAUUAACAAUUUGAUUAUAUUACAUAAAAUUGAAUUGUUUGAAUACAUGAUUGGUAUUGCUAAUAUUGUUGAUAUUGUUGAUAUUUAUAUGUGGGUGUGCCCCUUUGGGGAUUUUGUUGAUAAUCAGAUUCUGUGUAAUUGAUAUUUUUUCUUAAUGAUCGAUGAACGAAAUCAAAGUGGUAUAUUUUUUCUGUGUAAUUGAUAUUUUUUAAUAUGAUUAUUGAGAUUUAAUUAUAUUGUUGAGUUGUAUGAUUCAAAGAGACUUACAAUGUUAGCAAUAUAUGAGCUAAUUGUGGGUCCAUAGAGGACUUUGUUGAUACGAGAUAUGAGAUGUCAUUUGUGGAUUGAUUAUGACUUAUUAUUUACAUUAUAUGUCAUAGAUUAAUGUAUAUUAGAGAUAGGUAGGACUUCAGUUCGACAAGGUCAACUACGUCGAGAGAGCCAAUGACAAUCUCAUUGUUUAGAGAGAAUAUUUUUCAUAGAGGAAUUAGAGACGUGGAUAAUCCUAUAAAAUAACUCAGACAUUCAAAAUUUUGGUACCACGUGCAUAUUGAAGAAGAAUUGCAUAGCAUCUCACGUUUGCAGUGUAAUUAUUUGUGGAUGAGAAUUAAUGUUUAUGAUUUAUGUUAUGUCUAUGAAUGAUAUCCUUGCUGACUAAUACACCAAUGACUUUUGUAAAAUUAUUCUCACUCAUUUUAUGUCGUUGUGUGACUUGUUAUGCCUAUGUUACAUAUACAAAUAGCGAACAUUAGUUGUGAGUUGGAGAAUAAAGUAACGUGUUUUUUUUUAAAAAUCGAGAGGUAAUGUAACGUGUUUUAAAAAAUAAAACUAAUAUGCAGUUGUUGAGAAUCAAAUCCACAACCAGUUUCACCUUUCUCUCUGAUUACUAAUAGAUCGAGGGUAAAAUUGGCUACUACAACACCCUUCAUUACGCUGCCUAUGUAAUAAUUUUUUCUAUCAGAGAUAAAAUUUGUUAUUAGUAGUAGUGAAUCAUAAUUUUAAAAAAAUACAAAUCAAUAUUAUAAAAGAAAAAUAAUUAAAAAAUGAAGUGUUGGUUAGGACUGAUCCAAACAAGAAAAAAUAAAAAAAAACCAAAAUUAGAAAUAAUAGUAAAAGUAAAACAAAAACAAAACCACCCAUCUGUGAGUAGAGCUAAUGGGUUGGAUGAUCAAAGCAUAUCUGAAGUUAGACAAUGACAAAAUUCUCUCACCCACUAAAAUCGAUUGAUAAAUAUAAGGCAAUUUUGGAGGUUUAAUAAACUGUAAAAUCUGUUAAACUGCGAUGUUAUAGGAAUAAUUGGUUGAUUGCAUAGGGUGUUCGUGGUUCAUGAAUUGAAUUGAACCGAACCAUAUUAAUGGUUCAAUGCAGUUUUUAAAAACCACUUUAGCAAAAAAUGGUUAAUCUGUUUAAUCAAUUCAAUUCGGUUUAAAACCAAUUCAGAACCGGUUCAUAAUUUUAAACCAGUUUAAUUUAUUUAAACCAGUUAAAACCAAUUUUUUAAAAAAUUGGAUUAAUUUUUUCACCAAAUUCCAAACUGGUUUUUUUAUAUAUUUAAAAAAACUGUUUCUUUUUUGUUUUUAUAAUAAAAUUGAAUUUAAAAAUUGAAUUCAAAUCUGAAUUUUUUAAAAAAAUUGGUUUAAAUAUUUUGAAAAUGAGUUUGUAAAUAACAUUAGCAGUUUUUAAUUGUUAACUAAUUUUUCUAAUACAAUUUGUAUGUAUUUGUAUUUUGAUUAUGGUAGGAAUUAAUGCUCCAACUUCACAGUCGUUUCUAAAUUAUGUGUUCUUGGUGAUUAUCUAUGGAAGUAUUCUACUCUACAGAAGACACCUCUCAAGGUUAUAUUAUAUACUAACUGACCUGGUUUGGAUAAUUGCUUAUAAUAUAAGUGCUUAUAAGUUAUAACAUAGUGUUUAUAAUACAAGGGUUUAUGUAUAUCUAUUUUUCCUAUGCUAUGAAAUCAUGGAGAGAUUAUGAAAAUAAACUGAAAACAACUUAUGAACAAUAUAAGCUCUCACAAUAGUCUCUUAAAUGUUUAUGACAGUAGAUAAACUCAAAUAAGUUAGUUCAUCAUACAUGGCUAGUUCUUGACUGGAAUUUUAUUAUUUUGCCAAACUUUAGAUGCUAAUGUUAUUUCUGCUUUGGUCAAAAUGAUGAAGACAUAUUAAGAAAAUCUUGAUUCUUUUCUACACUCACUUUAGAAGUUCAUUGGAAAACUUCUACAGUUGUAUAAGCAGCAGCCGUUACAAACUCAUUUGGAGCCACACCUUCUAUUCAAUAUGGAAAAUUGGUUUAUAUAGCAGUUUUUUUAAAAAAAAAUUGGUUCAAAUAGAAGGUGAAAUUGAAAUUGAUGUUGAGUUUGAAUUGGAGAGAAGAUGAUUUAGGGUUCAUAUUUCAUAUUUGUGGAAGAACUAGUAAUGUGAAAAUGAAAAUGUUAUGAUAAUAGUAAUUGACUAAAAAAUAUUAAAAGAUUAUAAUUAAAAUAUUUAUCAUUUUAACAUAAUGAUUUAUUAAGUUUAUUGAAUUUGUUAAAUAAUAGUAUUUAUAUUUUAGAUAAAAUUGUGGAAAAAGUUUAUAAGAGUUUAAACUGGUUUUUAAAUUCAAUUAGAUUAAUUGAAUUGGUUAAAAUAAACAAUUCAAUUUAUUAACCAUUUUAAUGGUUUAAGUUUUUUAUGGUUCAAUUCAGUUCAGAUUAGGUAUUUGGAUCAGUUAACCAAAUUUUUGAACACCCCUCAUUGCACCCAUAAAACAACAAAUUUAAACAUAUCUAUCAAAUUUAUGAAUUACACCAAUAUAUUUCUCUUGUUUCUAAAUAAUAUUUUUUUUAGAUAAAUUUAAAAGUUUAAAAUAUUCAUAUUUUUAUAUUUGAUCACUAAAUUAUUUUUUAUAAAAUAAUUGAAUUAUGUAUUCUAAUCAAACACCCGUGUAACCCACAAAUAAUUUAUCUAAUUUAUCACUUAAAUUUAUCAAAGAUAUGGAGAACAUGGAGGCAACGGUGUACAUUCAAAAUUAAUAGAAAAUAAAAAAAAUUAUUAUUAUAAUUUUUAUUAUUUUUUCAUUUCAUUGUCUAAAUUUUAGAGAACAAAGUUAUAAUUUCAAAGGAUAUGAAAUUAUAAAACGAAAUAAAUAUCUAAAAAUACAAGAAGCAUAAAUCUUAAAUGGAAACUUAUGAAAUAUUCUACAUAAGAUAUAUUAUUGAUAGUUUUUUUAUAUUUCAAAAACUAAUUAUUGCUUACAACUAAUUCUUCCUUAUCUUAAACAAUAUACAUGUUCCUAUGCAGUCAACAAUGUAACCGUUGAUUCGAGCGCUAACAAAUACGAUUUCACAAUCUUCCUUACUUUCACAUGGAUCUGAAGUGAAAAAUAAAAUAAAUAGGGUUAAUAAAACAUGAUAAAAGAUUAUGUAAGAACUAAAAAGUAAAAAAGAAAAUAUUUAAGGGGAAAAAUGAUUUACACAUAGCCUUCGCAGAAAAAAGGAAUAGGAACAAAAACAAAACUAUAGCAAAAACAAAGUUGACAAGUUUAGACAUAUUUCUUUAUCUUUUAAUUUUACAAAUGAUUGAAAUUUGAUCGAUGUAUGUAAAUUUAAUGCAAUGCUAAACACAGUUAGAUAUGUGUAGCACUAAAGUACAUAAUAUAUUUUAAUAUAUUUUAAUUGCCCAUUUUGCACACUUAAUAAGUUUCUC
rnacentral:lncRNA from 1 species